rfam:Pseudallescheria apiosperma strain IHEM 14462 SEQ_SAPIO_0108, whole genome shotgun sequence.
GGCAGAAUGGCCGAGCGGUCUAAGGCGCUGCAUUCAAGAACAAUUCUUUCCAGAGAAAAUUUGGCUCUGCAGUUUCGAAAGAAGCAUGGGUUCGAAUCCCAUUUCUGUCA